rnacentral:lncRNA from 1 species
UUAUGAUUCUCUGAAAUCCUGACAGUAUGGAAGGCAAAAAUUUCAGAAGCUAUAAAUUCAGUAAGUAUUGUAUUUAAAUUAUCAGACAAGACAUUUAGGUACUACCCUCACCUCAGCAGCUAAGAACAGUGUCCAUCGUUUCCUAGGCCAGGAGUGCUCAGGUGCCUUGUGUCCCUUUUAGGUGUGGAAUCGUGGUGAAUAUUAGCUAAGGGGAGCCCUGGCUGAGACCAGCAGGAGAAAGCUGCAGGUUUCUCGUACGCAAAAGGCUGAUGUGGGGCAUCAUAUCCCUUUGUAUAACUUUUUUUCAUGGAAGAGAACCUUUAUUUCCUGAGGGGGUCAAUAUUUGUAACUUCAACUUAAAAGCAGAUUACCAAAAAUCCCUGUCAUUCUUCACAUCCCCACGUCCCCAUGGGUUAUUAUUAACCUGGUUUCAUGCUAAACAUGCCUUUACACACACACACACACACACACACACACACACACACACACACACACCCUUAAAAGCUAGGUAUUUGUUAAAUGCAGAAGCUGUGGGAAGGAAAUAAAGUUCAGUCCAGCAGUUGACCCUGUCUGUCUAUCAUGUCUGUAGUUCUGGAACUUAAUAUACAGAAGUUUAAGUCUAACUGCACAAGAAAUCAUUUAUUUCUCACGUCCAAAUUUGCAAAGAAUGGAGUGAACGAAAUUCUGUUUGGAGAACUAGGGGAUUUUAAGGAGAUGGUAAGCAAAAUGAACUGGUCGGGCUAUCUAUUAUAAAGCCCCAGUCUGUACAACAUGAGCCGGAGGAAGCAAGCUUUACCCGCACAGCAGCCAGGCUGCAGUACCAGGUGGAGCGGCCAGCCUUUCCGGGUCUUACUCCUAGUCUCAUCUGAGCCCCACUUUCCAGGCCGUACUCAGUGCACUCCCACAGGUUGCCUGGUCUCCAAAUGGAAAUGAGCAGUGUGCAAGUGCAUAGGAGCACAGCGAGUGGGGCUUCCUAACUGCAAUUUUGGAAUGUCACAUGUAGGCUCCUGGUGGCACACUACAGUCACCCCAGUCCUCAGGUGACAGAAGCUGGACUAUAAGGAGUUAAAGGCAGUCGCUACACAGGAAGGCCCUGUCUCAAAAACAAAAAUAAUACAAUUAAGAGUGCAGGCUUAACAGGCAAAUUUCUAGUUGGUUUUGUAUUUAUUUAUUUCAGAUGUAUUUAUCUGAUAAAAGAAAUAUGGUAUCGGUUUUUUUCCAGUAAAUGAGAUGAUGGUGCUGGCGUAUCUCCACCCUCUACACUGGCAUAUGGUAGACUGUCACAUGCUGUAACAAAUGGAAAUGUGCUUGAAAAAUAUGCUUACCUUCUAAACAAUCAUGGCUAUUUGUUAUCUAAAUAUUUAAAACUUAACCAUGUCUUCAUGUGCACUGUGAAUGGACUUUGUAUUAUUUUUUUAAACCUUACACUCGAUGUAAAUGUUACUAUGACUUAGCCUGUGCUUGAUCUAAGAUCUUUUGUGUAGAUGGGUAAUUAAAAGAUACUGAAGUGACAUUAUAACUCUAUUAUGGAGAGCAUCUUUUACAUUGUCUUUGUUUUAAUGAGGAAGAGACACCUCUGUACCCAGGGUUGUGAUUUGGCCCCAUAAUAUAGGCAAAUCCGUGACCCAAGAAGCUUUCAAAGUGGCUUUUCUCAGAAGGCUUGCAUGUCAUAAACCUUGCAUUUCACAGUUGUAAUCCAUGUUCAGCCGAUGCUUCUUUUCCUGUCUUGAUAUUUGUCAAAACACUUUGGUCUUUUCUUCAGUAAAAUAUAAAAAAAAAAACAGUUUUCUAGCUACACUGUGGUGUUGUGGCCAUUAAUGAUGCUGGCAUGUUGAGUCCCACAGGAGCUUGCUAAGGGGCGUUAACUAACUCUUAGACCUGAAGGGAACCGUAUAGAUGACUUCUAUUCAUCCUGAUUAAAACCUCCCAUCCUCACUUUUUAUUGCCACCACACUUUGCCCCUAAAUGAUGCUCAUAAAGUAACUCGCCGGUGAUUAGCUGUGUGGUGUACUGUAGUGUUGAACCGUCCUUCAGACUCCCUGUGCUCGGCUGAAGUCCACACUGGGAGAAGGUGCAGAAAGACAUAUUUCUAGUCAGUG